GACUCUCGGCAACGGAUAUCUCGGCUCUUGCAUCGAUGAAGAACGUAGCGAAAUGCGAUACUUGGUGUGAAUUGCAGAAUCCCGUGAACCAUCGAGUCUUUGAACGCAAGUUGCGCCCGAGGCCACUACGGCCGAGGGCACGCCUGUCUGGGCGUCG
rnacentral:rRNA from 1 species